CCGACCUUAGCUCAGUUGGUAGAGCGGAGGACUGUAGUUGGAUACCAAAUCCUGAAUGUCAUCCUUAGGUCGCUAAUGUCAUCCUUAGGUCGCUGGUUCGAAUCCGGCAGGUCGGA
rnacentral:tRNA from 1 species